UUUCCAUCACUUUUUCAAAGUCACUACAUCUUUUUGCUUUCCCAGGAACCACUGGCCCUGAUUUUCAAGCUAAUCCGAAGUAAGCAAUGGUGUCUGCAAAGUGAGGAAAACUGACUAGAGAUCUUCCUAUGGAGGCAGGAAUGAUUACAAGUGAUGUAACUGGCAGCCAAAAAAGUGGCUUAAAGCCAAUGGAAAGUGGGGAACAGAAUAACAGAACUCAGGGAAGGAAUCAGCAGUUGAGGAGGAGCCUGUUUGCCCUGGGCUGCUCUGGGCAGGAGAGCUCCCCGUUUGUAUCAGGAGGGGAUCAUCAACAGAGCUCAGGGUCGCCAGUGACCCGUGAGGAGCUAACAGAACAGCGAGACUGACCACUCUGUGCACACACAGUGGGCUGCCUCACUCGAUACCCACAUCAUCUUUGAGUUAAACACUUUCCUCAAGGUCACACAGUCAAUGGCAGAGCUGCGAUUCAGACUCCCAUCUGAUGGAUGCCACAGCCCAUUCUCUCAGCCACCAAACAAUGUGGUCAGCGAUACCUGUUGUUAAUUAGAAAGAAUGCACAUAAACUGUUGGCUUAGCCACAACAUCGUCUUUUGGCAGAAAAGAAAAAGGGAGUGAGAGAGAACUCAUUUAUUUCCUAUAUUUAGCAGUGUGCCCAAGGUUGUGUAACUGUCGAGCAGUGCUGCGGAUGCACUUCAUCUCCUGCCACACUGCUCUGCUUUCCACAGCAAGUUCACAAGAAAAGUAAACGGACAGAACAAGGUCUGAGUACCUGGCUAAAGACGGACCGAGAGCUGUAGAGAGCUCAGAGUGCAGAACAGCUGGGCUCUACAGGAAGAGACACAUUAGCAGGACCACAUGGACUAAUGCUGGAUAGACCCAAGCUUGAAUUUCUUAUUCUACCAGUUACUAGUCAUGUUCAGAUCUUGGGUCUGGUUUCUUUAUCUGUAAAAGGAAUGUUCUGAUACCACAAGGGCUGAAGCUAAUGAAGCUGAGGAAAGUAACACAAAAGCACUGACCUUUCUGGCCGAGAGACUGCUAAUGAGGCAUUGCAGAUCGCCAGGAGGAGGAGAGUAUUAAGAUAUGCCCCUGCACAACUGAGAACAGCAGCUCCUGAUCUUUGUAAAUCUUCUACAGCUCUUUUCUAUUAAAAAGUAGCC